rnacentral:rRNA from 1 species
AAUAUAAUUGGUGACUCAUAAUAACUUUACGGAUCACAUUAAAUGUGACAUAUCAUUCAAGUUUCUGACCUAUCAGCUUUAGACGGUAGGAUAUUGGCCUACCGUGGCAAUGACGGGUAACGGGGAAUUAGGGUUCGAUUCCGGAGAGGGAGCCUGAGAAACGGCUACCACAUCUAAGGAAGGCAGCAGGCGCGCAAAUUACCCAAUCCUAAUACAGGGAGGUAGUGACAAGAAAUAACAAUACAGGACUUUUUGGUUUUGUAAUUGGAAUGAGUUAAGUAUAAACCCCUUUACAAGUAUCAAUUGGAGGGCAAGUCUGGUGCCAGCAGCCGCGGUAAUUCCAGCUCCAAUAGCGUAUAUUAAAGUUGUUGCAGUUAAAAAGCUCGUAGUUGGAUUUCUGUUAAUAAUUUAUAUA